rnacentral:rRNA from 1 species
AGUGGCGGACGGGNGAGUAACGCGUAGGAAUCUACCUGAUAGUGGGGGAUAGCCCGAAUAAAUUCGGAUUAAUACCGCAUAAUCUAUUCGUAGUAAAGUGGGGGACUUUCGAGCCUCACGCUAUCAGAUGAGCCUGCGUAAGAUUAGCUAGUUGGUAGGGUAAAAGCCUACCAUGGCUACGAUCUUUAGCUGGUCUGAGAGGAUGAUCAGCCACAUCGGGACUGAGACACGGCCCGAACUCCUACGGGAGGCAGCAGUGGGGAAUAUUGGACAAUGGGGGCAACCCUGAUCCAGCAAUACCGCGUGUGUGAAGAAGGCCUGAGGGUUGUAAAGCACUUUCAAUUGUGAAGAAAAGCUAGUGGUUAAUAGCCAUUAGCCUUGACGUUAACUUUAGAAGAAGCACCGGCUAACUCCGUGCCAGCAGCCGCGGUAAUACGGAGGGUGCAAGCGUUAAUCGGAAUUACUGGGCGUAAAGCGUGCGUAGGCGGUUUAUUAAGUCAGAUGUGAAAGCCCCGGGCUUAACCUGGGAACUGCAUUUGAAACUGGUCAACUAGAGUAUGGUAGAGGAAAGUGGAAUUUCUGGUGUAGCGGUGAAAUGCGUAGAUAUCAGAAGGAACAUCAUUGGCGAAGGCAACUUUCUGGACCAAUACUGACGCUGAGGUACGAAAGCGUGGGUAGCAAACAGGAUUAUAUACCCUGGUAGUCCACGCCGA